UGCUGGAUAGCUCAAUAAAGUAGAGCAUUAAAUUCUUAAUUUCAAGGUUGUGGGGGUUCAAGCCCCACAUCAGGCAA